CCUACGGGAGGCAGCAGCUAAGAAUAUUCCGCAAUGGACGAAAGUCUGACGGAGCGACGCCGCGUGGACGAGGAAGGCCGGAAGGUUGUAAAGUCCUUUUAUGACUGAGGAAUAAGCAGAGUGAGAGAAACGCUUUGUGGUGACUGUAGGUCAUGAAUAAGCAACGCCUAAUUACGUGCCAGCAGCCGCGGUAAU
rnacentral:rRNA from 1 species